ensembl:misc_RNA Metazoa_SRP Metazoan signal recognition particle RNA
GCUGGGCAUGGUGAUGCAUGCCUAUAGUCUCAACUACUUAAGAGGCUGAGGUGGGCGAUAGCUUGAGCCCAGGAGGUCAAGGCUGCAGUGAGCCAAUAUUGUGCCACUGCACUCCAGCCUGGGCAACAAAGCGAGGGCCUGUCUCAA